rnacentral:tRNA from 1 species
GCCCCGGUGGUGUAGCCCGGCCAAGCAUUCGGGCCUUUCGAGCCCGAGACCCGGGUUCGAAUCCCGGCCGGGGCACCA